rnacentral:lncRNA from 1 species
GCGUAUCAAAAUUGGAGAGCGGCAAAACUCCCGGUCUCAAUUCACACACCUCACAUUUCAGUCUCCACACACUCAGCUCACUCACCUCUUUUACACUCACCUCUCUUCUCAAACUCCCCUCACUCACCUCUCCGGCACUUUUGACGACAACUGAAUCGGGGUCUCUCUCAAUGGAUUUCACCUUUAUUAGGGCUUUUUUGUUUCGGAUCUUCAGUUGUGGGCUUCGAUUUAAAGCUUCUUAAUUCAUUCACUGAAAUUAGGGCUUGAGAUUUAUAGUUUCUUACAAUUUAUUUAAGAGAUUCGAAUUAUGAGUUUCACUUUAACGUUGUUAAUUUAGUGUCUCUGUUUGUUUCAAGGCUUCAAUCAGAUUGGGCUCCAAUCCAAUCAGGACUUCCAUCAAAUUAGGGCUUUUCACUUUAAUGGGGGCUUCAAAUUGCUUGGAUUGUGAUUUAAGAUACACUCCUCUCUCAUAUAUUUGCUUGUAAGUAUGUAUCUUUGUUCUCUAAAAUCUAUGUUUGAUUUUAAAUAUAUGUGAUUCUGUGUAUAUGAGUUUUGGUUUGUUCUAUGUUGUCUUUGUCUAUCUCUCUCAUUCUCUUCCCCUCCCUCUCCUACUCUGUCUCCCCCUCUCUCUUACACACACAUUUAAUUUACUAUUUUACUUGCUAAUAUACACACACACACUCUACUACUCUGUUUCUCUUGUACAGAUUCUAUUAUGUGUAUUAUGUAUAUUUGUUAUUUUUAUUAUAUUGAUACUAAAAUAAUCUCAAGUGCUUGACAAGCUUGAUCGAUAAUAUGAGCUCUGCCAGACCUCAGUUUCCUACCAAAGAGUACAUGAAAACACAGGUAGAUAUCCAAACUUUUGCACCUAAUUAUAUAUCGUGAGUGAUUUACUGACUUUUUGUUUCUAUAGAUCAAACUAUCUGACCCUAUACACUAAUACACCAGUUAUCACUGGAGAAAUCGGUGCGCGAAAAUCUUCAAACCCGUGCUUCCCUUCACGGGGAGUCAUUUAAUUUCUCCAUUGGUAAAAUGCAUCCUGCAACUUUUGCUCAUCAUAUUUACUAUCUUUCAGGAAAGACUUUAUGUUAUUCUAAAAUAGGGAGAACAGUCAAACAACUGUUAUUGGUUGUCCUGGCGAACCAAUCUAGACAGGUGAGGUUUCUUGUCAUAUAGCCUUCAUCCACUGUUAACUUGAUAAGGUUUUAGUUGUCAAGUUUGAGUUAUAAUAUUACAUCUAAGAAAACCUUACUCAAGCAGGACUUUUCUAUGCUGAUUAUAAACCCUGAAAAACAAAAGAUGUAAUAUACAAGCUAAUGACUCCCCUGGCUUUGUAGAUUUGAGUAUAGGAACCUCGUAGGUUAACUUCUAUUUUGUACAUGUGAAGAAAAUGGUUUUUUAAAUCAGCGUGAUGUGUAGUUUAGUGACCUUAGAAUAGUUUAAUAUAUUUAGGUCUCAUAUAUUAAUUCAGUUGGCUUGGCAUCUGUCAGAAACAUUAAGAUGGGUUUGGCUAAGAAUUUGGUUAUUAGAAUGAAUGAGCAUAUAUUUAUAUACUAGAACUCCGUAUUCUGUCUGAAAUCAAAGUGCUUCCAGUUGGCCAUAUUACUCCCCCUACAAUAAUAAAACUGUAGCCUGUCAAUAUUAUUGAAUCUUUAUAUAUGUGAACUAAUGAACUAAAAAAUAGAGAUUAGUGGUAAAGAAUAGAGAUUAGUGGUAAUGGGAUAUGCUUUCUUCUGGCACUUAAGCAUCAUUGUAGAAAAUACUUAUCAUUCAUAAAAGGGUCAAAGUGUGAUUAUAUGAUAUAAACUUUAUUCAGUUCUGUGUAGAUAGCUUUCUCACAAAUUUUGGUGUAGGGGUAUAUAUACUAUAUUCUAUAUACUCUGAAGUUUAUAUGUUUAACUUUAUCGAACUGAGCUUAACUUUAUAUGUUUGUACUAGGCUACAACACCAAAUUUGGAACAGAAGCUUGAAAAAUUAGCUCCUGCAGAUGCUGUUGCUGGUUUGAUUGCUCCCUAUUUUGUGGAAAGGUUAGAGUCUACUUUUAAAUAUAAUAAAAUCAUUUACAGGGAUAUACACAAUCUUUAGGAAAGUGUAAUAAUUUUCCAGUUUGAAGCUUUCGGCCUGCGGUUUGAUAGAGAGCUGUUUGCUUUCAAAUUACUCCUUUUAAAAUGACACAUGGAGUGAUGUUUUAAUUGUACUAGAAGUGUAUCAAGGUAGCUUCUUGUGUUGUGUCUUGGUGUCCUUUUUGUAAUUGAUGAAUAGCUAAGAGGACACCAUUGUGAUUAAAUACCAAUAAAAAUGGACUAAUCUGUCUACCACUAUACAGGUUUGUAGGAUUACAUCAGUUGAAUUUAAUGGAAUAAAAGAUUUCCCCAAAAUAUGAAAUUUGUCAGAACUUAAAAUGAUGGAAGAGGAAUAGUAGUUUCAUGUGAGACAUGCAAAUCAAGUCAUAGAUCUAUUUAACUAGCUACAACUAUUACAAUUAUAUUAUAGUAUAGUGAUUUGGUUUGAUUUGAACCUCUGCAGUUAGUUAAUAGAAGUGUUUCAGCCUAUAUACCAAUAUUAAUGAUGGACAAAGUUUUUACCCUGUUUAGUUAAUUUCAUUAUCUACUGCAAAUUUAUUGUGUUAUCUGUUUACUGUCCAACUAAAUCCACAUAAUUUGAGUUGUUCAAAAUAAGCAUGGCUUAUUUACCGGAACUCAGCUUAGUAGUUGCAUUGUAUUGUUUCAGGGAAAGCCUAAGCCGUUAAUGGAUCAACCUAACAGAGUCAAAGACUUGACUGUUCCAGAAUUUGGAACUCUCCAAGCUUGGGAAGUGCGAGCAAAAUGCAAGAAUAUGUUUAUUUAUAUAAUAGUGUAGUGUACUGUGAUGUUUGGUUGGAUUUGUUUAAUACUUUGAUUUGGUUGGAUUUGUUAGGUAGUUUGGUUUGGUUGGAUUUGUUAUAAACUUUGAUUUGUAUGAAAGAAUAGUUUAAUGUUGCAGUUGAUAUAGUAAAAUAUUGCAAAAUUGUUAUUUGAUGUUGC